UGAAGAGCGAGUGUCAUCCACGUUCCUCACAACUCUUAACAACCUUUUGAAAGACAGAGACGAGUCGUCCACUUUGAUGAUGGACACCAAAAAGAUCUUCUCCGUCUCCCUCCCCUUCACUCCCUCCUCUGUUGCUCUGGAGACCAUCCAGAUCCCCGCCAGCCUCAAUCUGGGCUUCCUCGCCCGCAUCUAGACCAGAAACCUCUGAGACUGAAUUGUGUUUACGAGAGGAGAAACACCAAAGUCUCUACACGUUGUAAUGUCACUGAUUACUGCAGAGCUGCUGCAGAAUUAGACGACUUUGUUUACAUGCAUCUAUGUUAUAGCUUUUCAGCACUGCACAGCCAAAGACUCAGAACUGAAUGAAUCUGCAAGAAAAGUGUUUUUAAGGUCAUCUAUUGCUAAAACAGGUAUUCACAAUGUUCCUAAUAUAAGAUAUAAGUAAGGACAUUUGAGAAAUUAUAAAACAUGCAAGUUUGUUGGGAUAGAUGAAUGUAUGCUAGGACUGUUUUGAUGGACAAAUCUU